GACAGAGGCCUCAAGCGUUAGGCGGAAUCACUGGGCUUAAAGCGUGUGUAGGCGGAUCGUUAAGUGCCUUGUGAAAUCCCACGGCUUAACUGUGGAACGGCUGGGCAUACUGGCGGUCUUGAGCCAUCUAGGGGCGACUGGAACAAACGGUGGAGCGGUGAAAUGCGCAGAUAUCAGGAGGAACACCAAUGGCGAAGGCAGCUCGCUGGGACGUGACUGACGCUGAGACGCGAAAGCGUGGGGAGCGAACAGG
rnacentral:rRNA from 1 species